rnacentral:lncRNA from 1 species
AAGGAACCCUAGCCUCCUCCUCCAUCGCCGCCGCCCGAUGCUCCGAAUCAUGCGAUUCUCCGGUUUACUCUCCGUCCUAUUGGCUAUCAUCGUCCUAUCUCCUUCUCUCCAAUCCUUUCCCCCAGCCGAAGCUAUCAGAUCCUCCCACCUCCGAUUCCCAACCUCGCCGCAUAGAUUCUCCUUCAGGAAAUCCCCUCUGCUCCGCAACGCCGCCGAUUGCGCCGCUAUCGACAUCGAUUCCAGCGUCUGCAACCCUUCGUUGGUCCACGUCGCGAUUACUCUCGAUUUCGAGUACCUACGUGGCUCAAUCGCAGCCGUUAAUUCGAUCCUCCAGCACUCGUCGUGUCCCGAGAGCGUCUUCUUCCACUUCCUCGUCUCCGAGCCCGACCUAGAGUCCUUGGUACGCUCCACCUUCCCCGAAUUGAAAUUCAAGGUCUACUACUUCGAUCCGGAGACCGUACGGACGCUGAUCUCCACCUCCGUGAGGCAAUCGCUCGAGCAGCCGUUGAACUACGCUAGAAACUACCUCGCCGAUCUGUUAGAGCCGUGCGUGAGGCGCGUGAUCUACCUCGAUUCCGAUCUGAUCGUCGUCGACGACAUCGCCAAGCUCUGGAGCACGAGGCUUGGAUCGAAAACGAUCGGAGCUCCGGAGUACUGCCGCGCGAACUUCACCAAGUACUUCACGCCGGCGUUCUGGUCUUCCGAGCGGCUCUCCGCGGCUGCGUUCAGAGGGAGGAGCCCGUGCUACUUCAACACGGGAGUGAUGGUGAUGGAUCUCGAGAGAUGGAGACGCGUGGGGUACACGGAGGCGAUAGAGAAGUGGAUGGAGGUUCAGAAGAGCGAUAGGAUUUACGAGCUGGGGUCUUUGCCUCCGUUCUUGCUCGUUUUCGCCGGGGAGGUUGCGCCGAUUGAGCAUCGGUGGAAUCAGCAUGGUCUCGGUGGAGAUAACGUGAAGGGGAGCUGCAGAGAUCUUCAUCCCGGUCCGGUUAGCUUGUUGCAUUGGUCUGGGAGUGGUAAACCGUGGUUCCGGUUAGAUUCGAGACGGCCUUGUCCACUUGAUUCUCUUUGGGCACCUUAUGAUUUGUAUAGACACUCACGUUGAUCAUUGAUUCUCUGUUACAUAUGGGGUUUGGUUUAUAGUCUCAGCUGGUUUAUGAAACUUUCAUUAAUUCUUUUCCUUUUUGUGUGUUCUUCCUCUGUAUUCUAUUCGAUUGUGAUUGUUCGUCGUUUGUGGAUGAAAUAAAAACAUAAAAAUAGAUACAUUCAGAUUUGUUGAGGGAACUACGUUGUACAUAACUUUUUUUAACCACAUGUUUUUAAUUACAGAGCUGUCAAGGUUAUCCUACUUUUUAUCGCCUAAUCCAAAUCAGUAAUUAAAGUCCAAGAGGGAAGAUGAUUGGAAAAUGAUUGAAACAUGGCAAAGCUAAAGAGGGAAGAUGGACACGACACUUGAGAAGAGUACUUUCUGGCUGAACGAUGGUGUCGGUCUCCUUGCUUACUUCAUUUUCCUUUAAUGCUUGACACUUUUUGAUGAGUGGGGAGUUAUAUCAAGUGUCACACUUUAGUUUUUUUUUUGUCGUCCUCUGGUUGGUUCUUAACCAAAAAGUAAAGCACUUCCAUUGUAUUUCGACAUUUGUUACCGCAAAAAAAAAAGUGGGAUUACUGAUUAGUUAGUUGAUUAAAUAUUCCUAAUCACAAUAAACAUAGCUUAUCUAGAUAACUCCUAGAUAAAAUUUAUUUCCUAUUUCAAAUAACUUUAGGUUAGCUUGAGGAUCAAGCUAUCUUCAAGAUUAUUCUCAACAAAAUUAUUAUAUAAAGCAUGCACACGAAGAGAAGAAAGAACAAGAUAAAACCUAUUUUUUUAGCAACCUAAACGUAGGCAGAUAGCGAAAGUAUGAGAAGAGGAGGGUUUCGUGUGUUGGAUAUGGUGAAACCGUUUUUGCCGUAUCUGCCAGAAGUGCAGAGUGCUUUUGAGAAGAAGAAGAAGGUUCCAUUGAGAGAGAAGGUCAUCUAUACCCUGACCACUCUCUUCGUGUUUCUCGUUUGUAGUCAACUUCCUCUCUACGGUAUCCACUCCACCACCGGCGCGGAUCCAUACUCUCCGUCCUAUUGGCUAUCAUCGUCCUAUCUCCUUCUCUCCAAUCCUUUCCCCCAGCCGAAGCUAUCAGAUCCUCCCACCUCCGAUUCCCAACCUCGCCGCAUAGAUUCUCCUUCAGGAAAUCCCCUCUGCUCCGCAACGCCGCCGAUUGCGCCGCUAUCGACAUCGAUUCCAGCGUCUGCAACCCUUCGUUGGUCCACGUCGCGAUUACUCUCGAUUUCGAGUACCUACGUGGCUCAAUCGCAGCCGUUAAUUCGAUCCUCCAGCACUCGUCGUGUCCCGAGAGCGUCUUCUUCCACUUCCUCGUCUCCGAGCCCGACCUAGAGUCCUUGGUACGCUCCACCUUCCCCGAAUUGAAAUUCAAGGUCUACUACUUCGAUCCGGAGACCGUACGGACGCUGAUCUCCACCUCCGUGAGGCAAUCGCUCGAGCAGCCGUUGAACUACGCUAGAAACUACCUCGCCGAUCUGUUAGAGCCGUGCGUGAGGCGCGUGAUCUAC